rnacentral:rRNA from 1 species
GAUGAACGCUGGCGGCGUGCCUAAUACAUGCAAGUCGAGCGAACAGAUGAGGAGCUUGCUCCUCUGACGUUAGCGGCGGACGGGUGAGUAACACGUGGAUAACCUACCUAUAAGACUGGGAUAACUUCGGGAAACCGGAGCUAAUACCGGAUAAUAUAUUGAACCGCAUGGUUCAAUAGUGAAAGACGGUUUUGCUGUCACUUAUAGAUGGAUCCGCGCCGCAUUAGCUAGUUGGUAAGGUAACGGCUUACCAAGGCAACGAUGCGUAGCCGACCUGAGAGGGUGAUCGGCCACACUGGAACUGAGACACGGUCCAGACUCCUACGGGAGGCAGCAGUAGGGAAUCUUCCGCAAAGGGCGAAAGCUUGACGGAGCAACGCCGCGUGAGUGAUGAAGGUCUUCGGAUCGUAAAACUCUGUUAUUAGGGAAGAACAAAUGUGUAAGUAACUAUGCACGUCUUGACGGUACCUAACCAGAAAGCCACGGCUAACUACGUG